rnacentral:rRNA from 1 species
GAUGAACGCUAGCGGCAGGCCUAAUACAUGCAAGUCGAGGGGCAGCAUCAUCGCUUGCGAUGGAUGGCGACCGGCGCACGGGUGCGUAACGCGUAUGCAACCUACCCUUUACAGGAGGAUAGCCCGGAGAAAUUCGGAUUAAUACUCCAUGGUACCAUAAAGUAGCAUUGCUUAAUGGUUAAAGAUUUAUUGGUAAAGGAUGGGCAUGCGUCUGAUUAGUUAGUUGGAGAGGUAACGGCUCACCAAGACGAUGAUCAGUAGGGGUUCUGAGAGGAUGAUCCCCCACACUGGCACUGAGAUACGGGCCAG